rnacentral:rRNA from 1 species
CCUUUGUUGCCAGCGGUCCGGCCGGGGAAACUCAAAGGAGACUGCCAGUGAUAAACUGGAGGAAGGUGGGGAUGACGUCAAGUCAUCAUGGCCCUUACGACCAGGGCUACACACGUGCUACAAUGGCGCAUACAAAGAGAAGCGACCUCGCGAGAGCAAGCGGACCUCAUAAAGUGCGUCGUAGUCCGGAUUGGAGUCUGCAACUCGACUCCAUGAAGUCGGAAUCGCUAGUAAUCGUGGAUCAGAAUGCCACGGUGAAUACGUUCCCGGGCCUU